rnacentral:rRNA from 1 species
CGGAAGGAUCAUUACCGAGAGAGGGGCCUCGCGCCCCCCGGGGGGUUCCGGCCCCCCAACUCUUCAACCCUGUGGCUACCAACCUUUGUUGCUUUGGCGAGCGCCGGGGUGCUUGCGUCCCGGCCCCGACCUCGGUCGGCGAGGCCUCGCCGGAGCCCCACUAGAAUCUUGUUUUUAGCGAUGUCCGAGCAAACCGAUAAAUCAAUCAAAACUUUCAACAACGGAUCUCUUGGUUCUGGCAUCGAUGAAGAACGCAGCGAAAUGCGAUAAGUAAUGUGAAUUGCAGAAUUCAGUGAAUCAUCGAAUCUUUGAACGCACAUUGCGCCCCUUGGUAUCCCGAGGGGCAUGCCUGUUCGAGCGUCAUUGCAACCCUCAAGCUCUGCUUGGUAUUGAGCCUUCGCCGGCGACGGUGUGCUCGUAAAUCAGUGGCGGUCCGGGGAGACUUCAAGCGCAGUAAAUCUUUCCGCUUUCGAGGUCUCGCCUGCGAUCCGGCCGAUAAACCCCCCAAUUUUCAAUGAUUGACCUCGGAUCAGGUAGGGAUACCCGCUGAACUUAAGCAUAUCAAUAAGCGGAGGAAAAGAAACCAACAGGGAUUGCCUCAGUAACGGCGAGUGAA